AGAAUAUCUUCUUACAUGUUCUGGAUAUAUCUCACCCCAAGGAAAUCUGGAAGUUUGCUGAAAAAUUCAAAAAUGAACAUAAAUUAAAUGUGUUGAUCAACAAUGCAGGAUGUAUGGUGAAUAAUAGAGAACUAACUGAAGAUGGACUAGAAAAAAACUUUGCAACAAACACUUUGGUUGAAAUAACACUGUUCUGAUAACACUGCAAAGCUCAGGCAGAUGGAAAACUUCACUGAGUGUGCUGCUGGCUGCCUGCCCUUCUCUGAGUGCUAGCAGAUUAAAAACCUCACCAGCAAUUCACCACUAAUUGCCAGAUAGAUAGAACAUCAAGCAGAAACUCUUCUCAAAUCCACCAAUUCACUUGGGUCUGCCAUAAUUGCAUCAUCAAUUAAUUAGAUGUUA